CCUACGGGAGGCAGCAGUGGGGAAUAUUGGACAAUGGGCGCAAGCCUGAUCCAGCAAUGCCGCGUGAGUGAUGAAGGCCUUAGGGUCGUAAAGCUCUUUUACCAGGGAUGAUAAUGACAGUACCUGGAGAAUAAGCUCCGGCUAACUCCGUGCCAGCAGCCGCGGUAAUACGGAGGGAGCUAGCGUUGUUCGGAAUUACUGGGCGUAAAGCGUACGUAGGCGGUUAUUCAAGUCAGAGGUGAAAGCCCGGGGCUCAACCCCGGAACGGCCUUUGAAACUAGGUAGCUAGAAUCUUGGAGAGGUCAGUGGAAUUCCGAGUGUAGAGGUGAAAUUCGUAGAUAUUCGGAAGAACACCAGUGGCGAAGGCGACUGACUGGACAAGUAUUGACGCUGAGGUACGAAAGCGUGGGGAGCAAACAGGAUUAGAUACCCUGGUAGUCCACGCCGUAAACGAUGAUAACUAGCUGUUCGGGCACUUGGUGCUUGAGUGGCGCAGCUAACGCAUUAAGUUAUCCGCCUGGGGAUACGGUCGCAAGAUUAAAACUCAAAGAUAUGCGNGNGAGAGCGACGACGACGACGACGGAGGAGGAG
rnacentral:rRNA from 1 species